CGGCAGGGGGCGGUGCGCGUGCGCGAGCCGGCGGUGCCCUGGCAGCGUGAAGGGGCCUGGUGCUCUUCCUCCUCCUCCUCCUCCUCGGGCGCGCGCGGGGGGAAGGCGGCGCGUGCUGCCGGGGGCGCGCUCGGGCUCGGUGGCGGCGGCGGCGGCGGCGCAGCGGGGGGAUUGUUUGCGCCGCCGCUCGGGGACCGCUCCCUCCUUCCUCAUCUUCAUCUUCCUCGUCCGCCGCCUCGCCGUGCCCCGCUGUCGCUGUCGCCCCCGUUUCCGUGUCGGGUCCCCACCCCGCAGCCAAUAUUCCCGAGAUCAAGCGCUACGCGGCGACGGCGGCGGGGCCGGCGGCGGGGCCCGGGGCGGUUGUCGGGGCCGGGGGUGACCGCAGCGAGGCCACCGCCGCCGCCAUGGAAGCGUUGGGACCCGGGCCCCCAACAAGCCUUUUCCAGCCACCCCGUCGCCCAGGCCUGGGAACUGUUGGGAAACCCAUCCGCCUCCUGGCCAACCAUUUCCAGGUUCAGAUCCCCAAGAUUGAUGUUUAUCACUAUGAUGUAGAUAUCAAACCAGAAAAACGCCCUCGAAGAGUGAACAGAGAGGUGGUGGAUACUAUGGUGAGACACUUCAAGAUGCAGAUAUUUGGCGAUCGGCAGCCUGGAUAUGAUGGGAAACGGAACAUGUACACAGCACACCCCUUACCUAUCGGCCGGGAUAGAGUGGAUAUGGAGGUGACGCUUCCAGGAGAAGGGAAGGACCAGACGUUUAAAGUAUCCGUUCAGUGGGUGUCAGUCGUCAGCCUUCAGUUGCUGCUGGAGGCUCUGGCAGGGCACUUGAAUGAAGUUCCAGAAGAUUCUGUACAGGCACUCGACGUAAUCACACGGCACCUUCCCUCCAUGAGGUACACUCCUGUGGGUCGCUCCUUUUUCUCCCCUCCUGAAGGUUAUUACCACCCCCUGGGUGGUGGCAGGGAGGUCUGGUUUGGUUUCCACCAGUCAGUCAGGCCUGCCAUGUGGAACAUGAUGCUCAACAUUGAUGUGUCAGCAACUGCUUUCUAUCGUGCUCAGCCUAUCAUUGAGUUCAUGUGCGAGGUCUUGGACAUUCAGAACAUCAAUGAGCAAUCCAAGCCUCUUACAGACUCCCAGCGUGUCAAGUUUACCAAAGAAAUCAGAGGUCUGAAAGUAGAGGUUACCCACUGUGGCCAGAUGAAGAGAAAAUACCGGGUUUGCAAUGUUACCCGGCGACCAGCCAGUCAUCAGACGUUUCCUCUGCAGCUGGAAAAUGGGCAGGCUAUGGAGUGUACAGUAGCUCAGUAUUUUAAGCAGAAGUACAGUCUGCAGCUAAAGUACCCUCACCUUCCCUGUCUCCAAGUAGGGCAGGAACAGAAACACACAUACUUACCACUUGAGGUGUGUAACAUCGUGGCAGGCCAGAGAUGUAUAAAGAAGCUAACGGACAAUCAGACAUCGACUAUGAUAAAAGCAACUGCAAGAUCUGCUCCAGACCGCCAGGAAGAAAUCAGCAGGCUAGUGAAAAGUAACAGUAUGGUUGGUGGACCCGAUCCCUACCUGAAGGAGUUUGGUAUUGUUGUCCACAAUGAAAUGACAGAGUUGACAGGCAGAGUUUUGCCAGCACCAAUGCUGCAAUAUGGAGGCAGGAACAAGACUGUGGCCACCCCAAACCAAGGUGUGUGGGACAUGAGAGGGAAGCAGUUCUAUGCUGGCAUUGAGAUUAAAGUUUGGGCUGUUGCCUGUUUUGCUCCUCAAAAACAAUGCAGGGAAGACUUACUAAAGAGUUUCACAGACCAGCUGCGCAAGAUCUCCAAGGACGCAGGGAUGCCCAUCCAAGGCCAGCCCUGCUUCUGCAAAUAUGCCCAGGGUGCAGACAGUGUGGAGCCCAUGUUUAAACACUUAAAACUGACUUAUGUUGGUCUGCAGCUGAUCGUGGUGAUUCUACCUGGAAAGACGCCCGUGUAUGCUGAAGUGAAGCGGGUUGGUGACACUCUUCUAGGAAUGGCCACGCAGUGCGUUCAGGUAAAGAAUGUGGUAAAAACCUCGCCACAAACGCUGUCCAACCUGUGUCUGAAGAUAAAUGCAAAGCUUGGAGGAAUCAACAAUGUGCUUGUACCUCAUCAAAGGCCCUCGGUGUUCCAGCAGCCAGUCAUCUUUCUGGGAGCAGACGUCACCCACCCUCCUGCCGGGGAUGGGAAGAAGCCUUCCAUUGCUGCUGUGGUGGGCAGCAUGGACGGGCACCCCAGCCGCUACUGUGCCACAGUGCGCGUGCAGACCUCGCGCCAGGAGACCUCCCAGGAGCUGCUCUACAGCCAGGAGGUGAUCCAGGACCUCACUAACAUGGUGCGAGAGCUCUUGAUCCAGUUCUACAAAUCCACUCGUUUCAAGCCCACAAGGAUCAUUUACUACAGAGGGGGAGUAUCAGAAGGACAGAUGAAGCAGGUAGCUUGGCCAGAACUGAUAGCAAUCCGGAAGGCCUGUAUUAGUUUGGAAGAAGAUUACAGACCAGGAAUAACCUACAUUGUUGUGCAGAAAAGGCAUCACACCAGACUAUUCUGUGCUGACAAAACUGAAAGGGCAAGUAAUGUUGACUACAUAAGAAAGAGGUGGGUAAGAGCGGCAACGUACCAGCAGGCACUACUGUGGACAGCACGAUCACACAUCCUUCUGAAUUUGACUUUUACCUCUGUAGCCAUGCAGGAAUUCAGGGAACCAGCCGCCCUUCCCACUACCAGGUCCUGUGGGACGACAACUGCUUUACCGCAGACGAACUGCAGCUGUUGACCUAUCAGCUGUGUCACACGUAUGUCCGGUGCACGCGAUCCGUCUCUAUCCCAGCUCCUGCGUACUAUGCCAGGCUGGUAGCGUUUAGAGCCAGAUACCAUCUUGUGGACAAGGAUCAUGACAGUGCUGAAGGCAGCCAUGUGUCAGGACAGAGCAAUGGCCGUGAUCCGCAGGCUCUGGCAAAGGCGGUGCAGAUCCACCAUGACACUCAGCAUACAAUGUAUUUUGCUUGAGAGCAUCUGGGAAGAUGAGGCAAAACCAACAACCUGUGCAGUCCUGAAAUGUUUCGAAUGCCUACUGCUAUAGCUGGGGCCCAGUUGAUUUCAGGCUGCCCACUACCAGCAGCUCUGAACAGUCGCACUGAAUCUGUACUUCACAGCAAUGUCUGAUGCACCAACACAAUUGAGCCAUUUGUUUCAUUGUUUUCUGUAAUAGAAAUUCAUAGACUUGUCUUUUCUGAUGCAUUGGACUGAAUUUUUACCUCAAAAGUGUAAAAGGCCGAUCAUCCUGAAAUUUUUAAAGGAUUUGGCACGAAAGGUUUCUAUUGAGUAUUUUGCUAGCUAUCGUUUUUGAGUUCUCUUCUCAUCCCAUGAGCUUAACAUGACGACUUGAUUCCCCGUCUUCACGCCCUGCUUUAGUGAGUAUGCAUCUUGAUGGCAAAAUGUUUUUCUCCAGUUCAAUGUAAUUGUUCUAUCGUGUGGGGCCAUAGAUUUUUUAAUGGAGAUUUUAGACUUCACUACUGUAAAUGCCUUUUAUCGGACAUAACUUUCACAGGUAUUGCAGUUUUUCGUCAGUUUUACUAAGUAUCUUUUUAAUCUCUGCAGACUUCGGCUGCGAAGCAAUUGCACUAUACUGCGAGUUCAACUAGGUGGUUCUUGUUCUGUGAAUGUGUAAUAUAAACAGAUAGUGAUGCCUGUCAGUAGAUUUUAAUGAUAAUGGUUAUAAAUAAUACUGCCAUGGUAUCGUAACAAGUACUGAACCAUCAGUUCCCCCCUCUAAAAAUGAUUUAAAAAAACAAAAAAACAAAAAAACAAAAAAAAAAUUAGCUUUUAGGUAUUUUGCAAACUUUUACAAAAGUGCCCACUUGAUGCUGCUGUGUGGUUUGAUAUAUCAAAGUGAUUUUAAAACUUUUUUCUCAUAGAAGGUUUAACUUUGGCAAUAAAUCUUUGUUUUUUAAGCCCCCCCAAACAGUGUAAUUUUCUAGCUGAGGAUUGUGCAUGAGUCGAACCAACAUUCUCGUGUCGUUUUUUCUGAACACACAAUUUGGCAGUUUCUGAAACGAAUUAGAGAAGACGCAUUUCCAUGCUUUUUUUAAGACUUAUUUUUAACUGUUUUAUAUUCACUGUUGGUGUCCUGUCUACAACAUUUUUUAUAAGCUUGGAAACUGGGUGUUACGUGUAGGAAAGGCUUGCCAAUCUGUACAGUCUACAUGUAUUGUGUGACAGGCAACCUAAGGACUCGUACCAGCAUUUUAAACUUUUUGGUUUUUCUCUUCCCCUGGGAAUCUAGGUUGCACACACAACUGCAUCCAACAGCAUGUUUAACCAACGUAACUCUCAUCUACUGAUUCUGUCCCAGCCUAGAAGUUAGGGUUUCGUUUAAUCUGCUUGGCUUUGUUUCAGCUGCAGUGUAUAAUAAAGAACAGGGGCUCGGUUUCACCGAAUACUCUUGGAAUCCGUGAACAUAGUGUGUUAAGACUAGACUCCCCCUUAGUGUUAACCUGAGUUAGUGCAGAUUAAAACCUUGUUCCUAAACUGAGGAGAGCCGACACCACUACUUCAGUAACAGAAGUUGAAGUCCAACGAUUGCACUGUGGGCUCUGAUGCUCGUGUGGGGUUUGCUGCUAAGUUGUCUGCUGUUCCAAAGCAUAGGAACCAGCCCCCUCAAAAUUUCAGCAAUAUGAAAUGCUGUUUCCUUCAAUCUUUAAGCUUGUAAAUAAAUUAAAAGUUUACAUUUCUAAAUGCUGGGGGGUGGGGUUUUUUUCAGUUGUACCAGAGUACACUGAACUUAAGUCUUCAAACAGUUUUAUAACAACCACCUUUCAAGUAGUACGUCUCAUUCAGUUAAGUUUAAACUUCAUUUCUGUUGAAAAUGGGACUGAAGCGAACUCUGCUCCUGGCAUGUGCUGAGGGCAGGUUUAGACUGAAAGGAAAAAAGAUUCUUUUUAAGUUGUUUUUUAAACUUUUUUUUAAAGAAUACCUCACUUGUGUAAUAAAAUCAGGACGUGGGUGGGAGACUGACCGCUGCUUCAGCUAGAUGGCUGCUUUUCUCAGUACUCGUUCAGGGAGAAUAGAAAAAAAAACCCCCUUUUUCGAAUGAACUCUGACUGACCCAACACAAAACGGAGAACUUUGGCACCUUGAAAAGAAACUGAGCACCCUUUUUAGGUGAUAAGAUCAAAGAUCACUAUUUUAUGUUUGUGCACUAGGCAAGAAUGUGGCUGGUUUAAUCGAGGGUGCGUAAGAAAUACUUAGUUUUUAGUUGUCCAGUGCCAAGCACUCCUAGUUCGGAUUGAGUGAAGCGAGAGCCUCUCCUUUGUUUGCCUGGGACCGGACUCCAUAUUUAACCUCAGACUAGGUGGGUUGUUAGACCUCGCCUUGGGAGGAGAGUUGGGACUGUACCGUGGUGGUACCGGUAAGACCAACGUUUCGGCACUUCCUACGCGGGUCUGAGGCCACGUCUGGAGGUUGGGCUUGACAUCUGGAUUAGCCCCUUGGGCCUGACUGAACCGUUAUGCAUGUGUCAAUCAAUGGGAAGAUGUGCAUUCUGUAGAUGUAGUUCUUAGGGUGUUUUGGGUUUGGUUUUUUGUUAUUUUUUUAAAUAAAUAAAGCCUGUUGGCCACUGUUUAGCUCUGUGGUGUGAAAGAGUUUAAAUGUAGCAAAGUUUAACGAGUUGGGGAAGGGGGUGGUUGGGGUUUAAAAAUCACAAAAGGGGGACGGAAAUCCCGUUUUCAAACCAGUUCUGCUUGCUUUGUGAACAGCUGAGUUCUGAACAAGCUCUGGUGAUCGUUUCGAAGGGCCUGGCUGCUUUAUCCGUGCUCUAAGUACCGCGGUCGGGCGCAGGGGCUGCAUCCCAAGGGCACCGGAGGCGGCUGCUCGCGGCACAGCUCUCGUCCCAGGUCAAACCACACCAGCAGCUCUAUUCUGUGCAUUGGGGACCUUGUUCAGAUCCAGCGUUUAACACAACCCACCCCCCAAAUUCCCUUUGUGGAUGUGCUGUAGGCUUUUUCUUGCUCAAUAGCAAGGGAGUAACUCUGCUUUCAUUUUCGGAAGGCAGGGUUUGGAGGGCAUUGUAUCAAUCCUGUUUCAACUACAAGGUUUUUUCCUUGUGCACUGGAGGAAAGAUCUUGUAAUAUCACUUACAGAUUUUCUUAUACCUUGCUAUUGACAUUUUCAUAUUUCUAUGUCUAGAGGCUGAAACUUCAAUGUAAAAUGUUUGCAUUUGUUCCUUUUGACUUAUGAUGUAAUUUUUUUUUUUUGUUUCUAUAUUGUUAGACUUGUAAUGUUUAAAAUUGUAUUUUAUUAAAUGGGGACUGGAUGUAUGUCUAUAGCAAUACGAGGUACUCUUUCUAAACUGUUCUGGGUGGGUUACAGCCCCAUGUUGCGCUAAGAUGCUGGUCGUGUACAACUUGCAAUGUAUUUCUUUUUUUUUUUUUUAGCCUGCAGGGAUAUUUUGUGUUCAUGUGUCCAAAAAAAUAAUAAUAAUAAUAAAAAAAAAAGGCAUUCUUGUGCCAAAUGUUCUGUUUUUCCUUGUUGAUGUCUAAUAAAUGCAAUGUACAGAGU